rnacentral:tRNA from 1 species
GAACAAAAAAUUGUAUUUAUCUAGUGAAUAGAAUAUAGUAAAAAAAAAAAAGAAUUUAUUAAUAUUGGAUUUG